GCGGGGGUGCCCGAGCUAGGACAAAGGGGGCGGACUUAAGAUCCGCUGGCGUCGGCCUGCCCGGGUUCGAAUCCCGGCCCCCGCA
rnacentral:tRNA from 1 species